CUACGGCCGACGAGGAAGGCGGGGGUGGGUGGCUUACGAUUCUCCAUCAACGCGUAAAUGCGAUCGUCAGAACCUCUAGCCUGUUGUGCGUCCCUGGAGCCUAGCGAGAGCUUAUCAAAGACACCGCCGCCCGAGGGACAACCCCGGGCGUCCGACAAGGCUGUCCCGUCAACCUGAAUCCCGGGACCCAGAGCAGGAGGCAACCAGCCGUUUGCCGGCCCGGGGCCGUGAACGCCGGAGCCGAGCGGAAGCUUUCCGUGAGGCUGGAAUUCGCGCCUUGGUUCGCAGGGACGUGGCCGCUGCGGGCCCUCCGGAAAACAGAUUAUCGGAGCCC
rnacentral:lncRNA from 1 species